rnacentral:rRNA from 1 species
CCUACGGUAGGCAGCAGUGAGGAAUAUUGGUCAAUGGGCGGAAGCCUGAACCAGCCAAGUAGCGUGCAGGAUGACGGCCCUACGGGUUGUAAACUGCUUUUAUCCGGGAACAACGCGCCUUACGUGUAGGGGUUUGCAUGUACCGUAUGAAUAAGGAUCGGCUAAUUCCGUGCCAGCAGCCGCGGUAAUACGGAAGGUGCGGGCGUUAUCCGGAUUUAUUGGGUUUAAAGGGGGCGUAGGCCGAAUGUUAAGCGUGCUGUGAAAUGUCCGGGCUCAACCCGGGCCUUGCAUUGCAAACUGGCGUGCUUGAGUCCGCGAAAAGCAUGCGGAAUGCGACGUGUAGCGGUGAAAUGCUUAGAUAUGGCGAAGAACCCCGAUUGCGAAGGCAGCUUGCUGCAGCGGAACUGACGCUGAUGCUCGAAAGCGCGGGUAUCGAACAGGAUUAGAUACCCGGGUAGUC